UGCCAGCAGCCGCGGUAAUACGGAGGGAGCGAGCGUUAAUCGGAAUUACUGGGCGUAAAGCGCGCGUAGGCGGCUUUGUAAGUCGGAUGUGAAAGCCCUGGGCUCAACCUGGGAAUGGCAUUCGAUACUGCAUGGCUAGAGUAUGGUAGAGGGAAGUGGAAUUUCCGGUGUAGCGGUGAAAUGCGUAGAUAUCGGAAGGAACACCAGUGGCGAAGGCGACUCACUGGCACAUUUCUGACGCUGAGGCGCGAAAGCGUGGGGAGCAAACAGGAUUAGAUA
rnacentral:rRNA from 1 species